CUGUAAUUUUGUAGAAGUUUUGGAACGUUUAUUUAUAUGUCGUCCUACCGUGUGUUUUGAGCAAUUUUGUAAAUAAUUUCAUUUUUCGUUUAUUCCCAUUAAAUUGUUUAUCAUUUUAAUAUUCUAGGUGUGUUACUCUUGCUGUGCGCAACGAAAAAUGCUCACAAUGUGUAAGUAUUAACUAAGUUAUUGAAAGCUAAGUUUUAUCAUCGAUAGAAUAAUCUCCGUAUAAGAUAAAAUUUUAACUGUAGCGCCAAUUUAUAACCGGAUUCACGUCAGGCGGGCCGCGGGUAGUAUUUGUGCCGGUCGCGAGUUACAUCGUCGCGUCUUUUACUACUUUCUAACGCGUUUUGUAAAAUGAAUAAGUUGAUCGGCGUCACACGGAACUUUUGCAGUUCCUCAACUCGGAAUGCAAUCAAGACGGUCACGGUGGUCGGCGGAGGCCUCAUGGGGUCAGGUAUCGCCCAGGUUGCAGCACAGGCCGGUCAAAAUGUGACCAUCGUUGACCUACAACCAGAAAUCCUUGACAAAGCACAGAAGUCGAUUCAAAACAACCUCGUACGAGUCGGCAAGAAGCUGUACAAGGAUGACGCUUCCAAGGUGGAGGCCUUCGUGAAAGAUUCCUUCGAUAGAAUCAAGGUCGCCACAAAGGUCGAGGAUGCUGUCAACGCUGACUUAAUCAUUGAGGCUAUUGUUGAGAAACUGGACGUUAAACAGGAGUUGUUCAACAAACUUGACCAGCUUGCCCCAGGGCACACCAUACUUGCAACAAACACCUCCUCCAUCUCAGUCAAUGAGAUUGCAGCCGGCAUCAAGAGGAAAGACAGAUACGGCGGCCUCCACUUCUUCAACCCAGUGCCAGUGAUGCGUUUGCUUGAAGUGAUCAAGGGCGAGCAGAUGUCUGAGGAGACGUACCAGGCCAUGCUGGCGUGGGGCGCGAGCAUCGGGAAGACUUGCAUCACCUGCAAGGACACGCCCGGCUUCGUGGUGAACAGAUUGCUCGGCCCGUAUAGCGCGGAGGCCAUCCGGCUGUAUGAGAGAGGUGACGCCAGCAAAGAAGACAUCGACAUCGGCAUGAAGUUAGGUGCGGGCUACCCCAUGGGCCCCUUCGAGUUGGCCGACUAUACCGGCUUAGACACCAACAAAUACGUCUUGGAGGUCAUGUAUAAGUUGACCAAGAACCCGGUGUUUGAGCCCAUCCCGUUGCUUGACAAGAUGGUGGCCGAGGGCAAACUGGGCAUCAAGAGUGGAGAAGGGUUCUAUAAGUACAACAAGAAGUCUAAGAUUUAAUGGGUUACUUUUGAAUUUCCUUUAUUGUCAGAAAUCCCGAUUUAAACACAAGCAUAGAUACAAACUUUGAAUCUAUUCUUAUGUAGAUUCAUAAUUGAGUCUCUUUUCAUUCUGGCAUGAUUCUCAAACAUAUUACGGGCCUAUACUCCAUUUUUGCAUUUUUUUAUUACAGCGAUUCUGGAUUAUACAGAGUUUAAAAGCGAAUCUGCUUGCAGUAUUUGCCCGAGGGUCGAUUCUAUUCUCUUGUUAUAUGUUAUAUUGUCUAUUAUCAUAUUACAUCAGACUUUUUCUAUAAUAUAAUGUUGUUUAGCAUAUUAGCAUUUAUUCAAGGUAAAUGGUAUUAUGUUUUUGCAAUGUAUUUUUAUAUAAAUAUUUAAUAUUGAACAUGACAGACUGUUUUCGAAUUGUAUUUAUAGUAAAAUAAGUAAACUGUUUUUAUUUAUCAAUUAAAGUAAUAAGGUGCACACUUG